rnacentral:misc_RNA from 1 species
CUGAGUUACCGCUCAUCAACCCUUUGUGAACAUACCUUAACUGUUGCUUCGGCGGGUAGGCGUCCCCUAAGAAGGACGUCUCCCGGCCCUCUCCCGUCCGCGGGUGGGGCGCCCGCCGGAGGAUAACCAAACUCUGAUUUAACGACGUUUCUUCUGAGUGACACAAGCAAAUAAUCA